UACGUAGGGUGCGAGCGUUAAUCGGAAUUACUGGGCGUAAAGCGUGCGUAGGCGGUUUGCCGUGUCCUGUGUGAAAGCCCCGGGCUCAACCUGGGAAUUGCAUGGGAAACUGGCAGGCUUGAGUGUGGCAGAGGAGGGUGGAAUUCCAGGUGUAGCGGUGAAAUGCGUAGAUAUCUGGAGGAACACCGGUGGCGAAGGCGGCGUUCUGGACUGCAACUGACACUGAUGAACGAAAGCCAGGGGAGCAAACGGG
rnacentral:rRNA from 1 species